UGGGGAAUCUUGCGCAAUGGGGGAAACCCUGACGCAGCGACGCCGCGUGGAGGAUGAAGGUCUUCGGGUUGUAAACUCCUUUUCUUGGGGAAAAUAAUGAUGGUACCCAAGGAAUAAGCCACGGCUAACUCUGUGCCAGCAGCCGCGGUAAGACAGAGGUGGCGAGCGUUGUUCGGAAUUACUGGGCUUAAAGGGCGAGUAGGCGGUGGAGCAAGUCUGAUGUGGAAUCCUAUGGCUUAACCAUAGAACUGCCUUAGAAACUGUUUCACUUGAGUCAGUGAGGGGAGGGCGGAAUUCCUGGUGUAGCGGUGAAAUGCGUAGAUAUCAGGAGGAAGGCCUGUGGCGAAGGCGGCCCUCUGGCACUGCACUGACGCUGAGGCGCGAAAGCGUGGGGAGCAAACAGGAUUAGAUACCCUGGUAGUCCACGCCCUAAACGGUGGGCAUUAGGUGUAGGGCUCGUAAGGGUUCUGUGCCGAAGGGAAACCAUUAAAUGCCCCGCCUGGGGAGUA
rnacentral:rRNA from 1 species